AGCUCCAUGUGGUGUCAUCCAUUGAAAAACAACAUGUCCAAAUCAGGGACAUUUACACAAUGGAAGCCAAAAUGAAUAAACAUGGCAACGGUUGGAGACAAGCCCAGACCACUGUGUGUGUCUGUGUGCAAGAUUGAAAUGACACACACUCACACACAGACAAACACAUGCAUGCAUGCACGUUCACAACCCUGUCAAGCUGUCUGAUGCUUUACAAAUUGUGCAACAGGAAGGCAGAGUACUGUGCCAAACCAUUGGCUAACGCUGUCUCGCUUAUGGUGGUGGUAAAUCACCUUCAUGCGCAGGUUAAACACUGCUAUAUGUACAGUGUGACCUGGCUGCUAGCCUGACAGAUGUGUGUAAAUCUUUCCUUAGCAGGUGAAUGGUCAAAUACACCACUGAGACAGACUAUAGUUUGCUUACAGUCAUUCAGUCUACUCUGUGUGGGUCUGUGAAAGAUCCAACCUGACAAAAAUCCAGUUCAGUGGUAACCUAUCCUUGCCCACAUCUAAGCAGCCACGCAGACAGGUCUGAACUGAUUUGGUGAAGGUUUGACACAUCCACCACUGACACCUCUAAAAACAGCUCAUGACGUGGAAACCACUUGCAUCAAUAAUCAAUAUUUUCUACAGUUCCCUUCGGCUACAGCGAGUAGCUGUUUUGAGUGAACAAGACUCUACAAACCCACUGUGCAAUACCUGCCCAGCACCAAACAGCAGACAGAGCCAAUAGCUGGUGGACAUAUUUAGCAAGUGGAGACCAAAAACAGAGCUAAAGUGAGAGUGAAAAUUGUAAUCAGUAUUCGCCAUGUGGCCAGAAACACAAGUCCAAAUGGAGUGUUUUUCCAUAACUGCUUGAUGUUUGAAUAAGCAACUGCUUGCUAACAAGUGUCACAUCUAACAGACCCUUUUAGUGCCUAUGUAGUGAUUGCGUCACAGUGUUAGCUGGAGGCAAACACAAAUCACCUCAGAGUAGUAGGCUGAAUCACCUACUGAAAAUGUCAUUUUGCUGUGUUGCUGGGUGCCAGAAUUGAAGAAGUAAUGGCUCCAACUUGAAAUUUUUGCACCCCAGCUGCCACUGCCAGUCAAAAAACCCAGAAGACGACUAUGGUUAAACGCGAUAAGAAGAAUGGAUUGGACUGAGACAAUCAUCAAAAAUGCUGGUGUUCGUAGUGCACACUUCAUUUCAUAUCAGAAAAGGUUAAAUAAAGUAUUGUCUGUUGUAGGAAUGGAUAUAAAGGUUUGUCAUGCCCACCUUAUCAGAAAUUGGGGAACUGGAAGGAAUAGGUGAUUUUUUUUGUAACUCUCUAAGUGCAUUAGCUAAUUUCGUUAGGUAGUUGUAUGUGUCAGGUGUGUUCAGGAAGUUACAUUUGCUAUCCCCCACUAGUAGCUAGCAGUAACCAACCAACCAAACAGUAUUGUAGUUAAUAAUAAGCUAGACUGAAAGGACAGAAAUCCCCAUGCACAGCCAGUAUUUUCAGACAGGUGCUGGUCGGUCGCAGGAACAUAUAAGGUGAAAAUCAAAAUUAACCACCACACACUGUAAUGACUUUCCUGUGACUUUAUUAAGAACGAACUAGACCAGACAGACUAGACUGACUUUGAUAGCAAGCUAUUUUGUAGGAGAGGCUUCUAUGGAUGAAGACAACCCAGUAUUCAUCCCCCCUGUGUUUUUUUAUGGACGGCGCAGGUUGGCCAGACUGCGAAAAGCUGGAGAGGCUGGAAAGAAAAAGGAAAAGAGAAAGUCAGACAGUGGAGCAGGAGGCUCCUUGCCAUGUUGAUGAUCCAAUGACACCAGAGAAACCAGUGGAAGAAGCUGAGGCUAUGGUCCCACGAGUAGCAUACGAAAGUCUCAGUCAAAAGUAUGACCAACUCAGAACUGAAUAUGGCAACUUGAGAAAAGACUUCUACAAACUCAAAGAGGAGAAAUUUCAGUCAUCUUCACUUGGUUAAUGACAAAAAUGAAAGACAGUGUGCAGAAGCAAACUGAAAGUCUCAUGCUGGAAGAUUAUUUAUUAGUGGUCCUUAUGAAAUGGAGACUGGGGCUCAGUAACAGAGAUACAGCGUAUAGAUUCAAAGUUUCUGAAAGUAAAUAUCAUGGUUGUCUGUGAUGGCAAGUGUAUGUCUGUCAGUUAUAAUUCCUGUUGUUGGUGAUGUGUUAGGGAGGAAGGAUCUGCAGUGUCGUUUUCUCUCUGCAGAGAUGGAUGUGGAGUGGAAGGCACAUAAUUUAUAUUUUCCUCAUCCCGGGACAAGGAUGUCUGUUAUGUCAAAUGUCUUGUCACUUGUGACCUACACUAUGAAUACAAAUACUGGAUUUGUGUUUUAUGCCAAGCAAUGACAUUUACAUUACAAAGGAGGCUAUGUUCGCUCAUGCUUACGGCAGAUAUUUAUGGUGGACACAGAAAUGAUAGUUUUUGGUAUGAACAUCCAAAAAAGGUUUGCAGUUAUUUUUGUUUUUCACGUGUACUGAGAACAUCUGUUAAGUGUGGUCCAAUUCUAUUCAGCAAAGCAGAAAUUACAUCUCCAAAUAUUCAAAAUGACUCAACAAAUUAUUUGAUAGAACUGGGAUCAGAUUAUUUCAGCUAAACUCUAACAGCUUCAAGAGGUUUUGUGCUUUCUGCUGUUAACAAUGCAUAAGUUAUGGACUCAAUUUUUGUCAAAUAUCAUACAGUCAUAUGAUCUCUAUUUAUUGGGGUCCAUAAAUACUACACACUGAGUCAUCCUCUGGAGCUCGCAUUUGAGCUGCUGCAGCUUUUUUUUUCUUUUCCUGUAUGACCAAUCUGUUUCUUUGAGUGCUUUUAAAUGCUUGAAAUGGGAACACAAUGGCAGUUUGGGAAUGUAGAGUAAUCAGCUCUUCCAGCCUCAGUUCAGCUGAUGUGUGAAACUGGUUUCUGGAUCAGAACAAUCACAACGGACUGGCAGAGAGAUCUGACAUGAAGGUCUUGGAGUCAGAGAAAACUUUUACCAAGCUGCACACAUGGAGGAAGGAAUGGUUUCAUUUAUUUGGGGGGCGUAUGGAAUAAUUUUAGUAAUUCUCCCUUUGUCUCUGUGUGUGUGUGUGUGUGUGUGUGUUUGUCUACAUGUUGUAGGUCUGUUUAACAUUAACGCAGCGUCUUUAAACUGAUGUUCCUGUCCCAGUUGUAAUUUACAUUGUGAUGUAAUGUAAUGAUCUCCUAGAGAUUAGUACUGCAUACUGCUGUCAGUGUCUCUGUGAGCGAGCAUCCUCUCUGCAGGGAGCACUGAAGCGACAGAUAGGAGCUGUUGGCCAGAGGAUCAUGUUUAUUGUGGGCAAGGCUCAGUGCGUCAGUCCAAUAAGUGCAUUCAACUGGACAAAUUAGCUAAAGCUGGACUUGCACAGAAACAAUACCGAGUUUGUUCAAAACAAUUUCUCUAUUUCCUCUUGUGAAGAUCCAGGAAACCAUCAUUCAGUAUCUCUAAUUAUCUUAUUAUUGUGUUAUUACUUAAAGACACCAAAACCAAACCCAGAAAGAGAAAUACUUGUGGAAAAAUGCACUUUUUUAUCAUAAGCUAUCAUUGAUUUCACUGAUAAAGGUUUAUUGUACAGUUCUGUCAAGAAAAAGACAAGAAGGCAGUGUCAGACAUGCGAAAGGUGCAGCAGGCAAAUAUACAAUCCAUAACAAUACCAGUUUCAUUGUCAGUAAAAUACAGCAUUCAUUUGUUUGCGAUAUUAAUUAAUAGUAAUAUAAAAACGAGGGAAGACACAGAAGCGACAAUGUAAAAUCUGUCAUUCAGUAUUUUCAGUAGUCUUUACAGACAUGAUUGAAGUGUUUCAGUAGCACUUGUAAAAAAUAAAUAUCGGCCUUAUAUCAAAAAUCAAACAAAUGUAAUUUAACAACUUACUUUACAGUAAAA